rnacentral:tRNA from 1 species
CGCGGGGUGGAGCAAUUGGCAGCUCGUUGGGCUCAUAACCCAAAGGUUGUAGGUUCAAGUCCUACCCCCGCUA